UACGUAGGGGGCAAGCGUUGUCCGGAAUCAUUGGGCGUAAAGAGCGCGUAGGCGGUCCGGUAAGUCGGUUGUGAAAGUCAAGGGCUCAACCCUUGAAUGCCGACCGAUACUGUCGGGCGUAGAGUCCGGAAGAGGCGAGUGGAAUUCCCGGUGUAGCGGUGAAAUGCGCAGAUAUCGGGAGGAACACCGGUGGCGAAGGCGGCUUUCUGGGCCUUACCUGACGCUGAGGAGCGAAAGCUGGGGGAGCAAACAGG
rnacentral:rRNA from 1 species